UAACAGUUGAAUUCUGUCUCCAUGAUAACCUUCUUUAGUUUUGAACUCAUUUCCAGUUUGUUUGCAGGUGAGGACACCUGUUCAUGCAGAGGAGCUUCUACAGGAGCUGAAGCUCCAAUAAAGAGGUUAUCAGUGAGCGAGGUCAGCGGCCCGGGCUGAUAACAGAUCAUCUCCUCCAUCACAGGUGCUCCUGCUGGAGGAGCACCUGCUUUAACACCUCCUCCUCCUCCUCUUCACACAGGAUUGGUUAAUGAUUUCAGAGGCUGUCAUUAAGCUGCUGUAGCACACACACCAGUUAGCAGUGAGAGUAUUUCCUCUCUGACAGCUCUCAGAGAGCAGAGGAACGCUGCAGGAAUCACAGCUGCACAAUGUUUCCACUCAACCAUGAAUGUGCUUAAAGGGGGACUGCUCAGAGCGCCACCAUCGCCACCACAGCUCAUAAUGAAGGAUCCCAGGGCGCUCCUUAUCACACGGCUCCAGGCAGCAUUCAGGGAGAUAAGGCUGCCAUGUGUGGGAGCUGCGGCCCCCGGGACACAUGUCCUUGUGUGUAAUCUCUUGUAGUACACAGUCAACUGAGAGCCCGUCAAUGGGCUCUUUAUAAAGGUCGGCAUACGCAUUAGUCACGCAUACAGACACGGAAAGAUCAGGUGGAAGUCAACAGCAGGGAGGGGAUGAAAAUCCAGACGUGCAGGAGAAACCCUGAAGCAAAUGUUCCACAGUCCUGGAGAUCCAAAGCUGGAAACACGAGGAACAACAUGAACAGUCUGUUCUAAGUGUUUCUCUGGCCUUCAACUCAACGUGAGAACAAACUGGAGGUCAUGUGAUGCACACACAGCAGUAUGGCAGGUGAUUGGCUGUAAGAGUCACAUGGUAAUUUAAUUCUGACGGAAAACGUUUCUGUUUUUUAUGAAGUUCUAACAGGCGUGACUCUAAAGGCUAUAACCAGCAUCUGGUUGGAAAGUUUAUCACAGCCAGGCGUUGCAGAAUCCGGCAUAAUCUUCAGAUUUUCAACUUUCUGCCUGUCCUUAAACUAACCACAUGCUGCAUGUUUCCUUCAUGAGAACACAAACUCUCAGCACAGUGAUUUUGACCCCACUCUGACAUUUGCCCUUUAACCCGCAUCACUUUGAUGUCAUUCAAACACUUUUAUGUCACACUGCAAUUUCAAAAUUCCAAUAUUGCGGUAUUUUAAAAACACUGGACACAUAAGAAAUUAAUAAAUAAAACAAAUCAGCCCAUUGGCACUGGAGCCAAUUAUUCCAUUUAUUAUUUUACUAAUAAGGGGCUUCUUUCUAUUGUUAUAUGUUGUAUUACAGAUAUGUUAAAGGUGUUUAAGUUAAACCUGAUGCAACUAUCAGCGAUUACUGUGGGUAAAAAAACAGAAUGGGGCAUUGUGGCGUUCCACAGGGCGCUAUCAUAGAUCCUCUACUUUUCAUUUACUUUUAAAUUAUAUUCUUGUUUUUCAAAGCACAAAAUAUUUCCUCCUUCAUGAAGCUCAGCUUUUAAAAUUGUUUUAAGGCUUAAAGUUUGCAUAAUUAGAGGUGUGGCCUCUGAUUGACAGGGGACUCUAGCUGCUAACUGUUUACUAGCUUCAUUUGGAGCCUUUUGGAGAAUUUUUAAUUACAUCAUGUGGCCAAUAAUAUGGCUGCUGUGAGGUUACUGUACUAACAGACUGUCCAAGAAGAUGGAGCUCCAGGGUUGCUGAGUGAAAUCAAGGAUUUUAAUUGGAUAUUGUUCCACAGCUGGAGUCCACAGACACCUUCAAACAUCACUGUUAUCUCACCGCUGCUAAUGAGUCAGAACAAUCAGUGAGGUGAGAAUAUCUCAGAAAUGUCCUCCAAGCUUUUAUUAGGGGACCUCAGGGUAAUCUUUUACUGUCUCAGAGUAGGAAAAGGUUCGUGUUUGCAUGGAUUCCACUAGAUUCAAAGAUUAAUUUCAGAAGGAAGGCUGUGUUUUCAUAAAUACAGACAGAAAUUAGAUUAAAUAUUUAUUUUCCUGUUCGGUUUUGAGGCAGAUUUGUCCAACUGAGUUUCAUGUGCAUAAUUUAAUGAGAAAUGCACGAACCAAAGAGCCGUCUCACGUCAGUUUGAAACGCUCAACCUUUACUGUUUGAAGCAGACGACUGCUGGCCUUGAUUGUUAUUCAAUAAAACUAAAUACACCCCAAUGCUAAAGCAAAGCACGCUUAGAGGCGGCUUCACGGUCCUGAACUUCAGGGCUGUGCCCUACGUAACAAAACCCACAAAAAAAGCAAACCUGACCCGCCUGUUGUUUAUGAGGGGCCACCAACCAGAAGAAAGCUGAAAGAGCUUGUUUGAGGGCCUGUAGAGAGGCUCAGUUAGAGGUAAAGAAGGAUUAUUUUGAGCUGUGAAUCAUGCAAAGCUGCUCUGGAAGGCUCUAAGAAAAAACAAAGAUGGAGCAGAAAUAUGAACAAAGAUUUGAUUUUGUUCAUAUUUAAUGCAUCAAUAAAUCACUGCAUUUAUCAUCUCUGUUAGAUUAGCACACUGAAGCCGGAUGCUUCACCUGAUCGCAUGCACAGGCCACAUGUCUGCCCAUUGACUGCUGAUUAAUCGGCUCAUUGUUGCAGCUCUCAUGUGCCUGUUCGGGGUCCUGCCCCUCGUGUUGGGAACCUCAGCAAUGCUCAUCAUCUCCUCUGUAGCACACGUCAGAGCCUCCAAUGAUGGUCUUCCUCAUUAACCAACCAAUCAGCAGCCCUCAGACCUUGCCCUGCAGACACUGCUGUGCAGAAACGUCUGAUAUGUUUAAUUCUCCAGGUUUUAAAUAUCAUCAGCUGGAUUUAUUCAUCUGUUAAAUCUUCUCUAGCCAGCCAAAACAUAAAUUAAAACAGUGAAACCUGGACCAUAAAUCCAGACAAUUAUCAAAGAAAAGUGAAAAAUUUAAAAAUCUGGAACUCAAACUAAAAAUGUUUUUGCUUAAACUCUAUUUUCAUGAACUCAAAGAUUAAAUUUCUUGGAUGUGAUACGCUCCAAAAAGUUUAUUUCUGUGCCUCCAUUUUUUCUGUGGCUUUAUUUUGAUUAAAUUACAUAGUAAUUACUUUUAAAAUAAAAUUUACUUUUAAAUGUUUAUUUUUAAAUUUUAAUUACAUUUGAUUUUAAUUUAACUUUAAAAUACAUCUUAAUUUUAAUUGCUUAAAAAAAUUAUGUUAAUUGUUUUAAAUUGCUGAUGUAGCAGCUGCUGGAAGUGAGUGCCUUGUUUCUCUUCGUUCCUGUUAGAUUAAGUUUAAAGUGCAGUAACAUGUGAGAGUGUAGAUUUUAGAUCUGCCUGUAAAAGUCAUGUUUCAGAAGCUGAUGUUGAUGCAGCCAGCAGAGAUCUGAAACAGCCAAUAAAAAAGGAGGAAAUCCUUCACAUCCUGCAGGAAACCAUGUAAGGAGUUAAUGAAUGAAACGAUCACAGAUCAGAGAAAAAUCCAGAGCGGCUCAGUUACAUGUUACAGCAGUAAUCUGACUAUGUACACAGACAAGCUGUCUUUGAAUACAGAACAAGUUUCAGCACAGAGGAGUUUUUUGUUUACAUUUAUUUCAUGAUUCCUGAUGAGUCUCUUCCAUCUCUGUCCAGAUGCAAAAACAAACAAAUUUUAUUUUAUUUGUUAUCAGUUUUAAUAUAAAAUUUCUGGAAUUUUUUGAGGAAAGGUUGGCUUGCAGCAAGCUUCGGGAGGAAAGCUCGAUGAUGAAGGAUGAAGAUGAGGAACUGUGUUCGGGAAAUCCAAACAUCUGCUGAGGAAAAUACGUUUGAGCCUCCGGCAGCUUCUUCAUCCAUGGAAAUGUCUCGAAGCCUCGUCCUCUAUGACGCCAACCAGAAAAACCAUUAAAACCAUUAAAAGUGUCUCUGGCUGUGAUGAUGGAGGAUGAAGGAGGAGGAUGAGCCCCUGACAGCAGCUGGGGUCGAUGUGAAGGUGUUAGAAGGCCGGCAGCUUCCCCGUCCAUCAGAUUGCUGACUGAUUUCUCCUCAUGUGUCGUGUUUGUACAACAAAAAGUUAAAAGAUGAUCUUCUAACAGGGG